rnacentral:rRNA from 1 species
AGUGAACGCUGGCGGCGUGCUUAACACAUGCAAGUCGAACGAGAACGGGUUAUAGCUUGCUAUAAUUGUCAGCUAAGUGGCGCACGGGUGAGCAAUGUAUAGGUAAUAUGCCUCUUACUAAGGGAUAACAAAUGGAAACGUUUGCUAAUACCUUAUACUCCUUAUUAACAGAAGUUAAUAAGGGAAAGAUUUAUUGGUAAGAGAUUAGCCUGUAUUGUAUCAGUUAGUUGGUGGGGUAAUGGCUUACCAAGACUAUGACACAUAAUUGGUUUGAGUAGAUGAUCAGUAACACUGGAACUGAGACACGAUCCAGACUCCUACGGGAGGCAGCAGUGGGGAAUAUUGCACAAUGGACGAAAGUCUGAUGCAGCAACGCCGCGUGGAGGAUGACACAUUUCGGUGCGUAAACUCCUUUUAUAUGAGAAGAUAAUGACGGUAUUAUAUGAAUAAGCACCGGCUAACCCCGAGCCAGCCGCCGCCGUAA